ACCCUUUGGCCUGGAAUAACACGAGGAAACUUGUGCUAAUACCGGAUAAGUCUUUACGGAGAAAGCUUUAUGCACCAUUGGAUGAGCCCGCACUUGAUUAGUUUGUUGGUAGGGUAAUGGCCUACCAAGACUAUGAUCAAUAGCUGAUUUGAGAGGAUGAUCAGCCACAUUGGGACUGAGACACGGCCCAAACUCCUACGGGAGGCAGCAGUGGGGAAUCUUGCACAAUGGAGGAAACUCUGAUGCAGCGAUGCCGCGUGAGUGAAGAAGGCCUUUGGGUUGUAAAGCUCUUUCGUCGGGGAAGAAAAUGACUGUACCCGAAUAAGAAGGUCCGGCUAACUUCGUGCCAGCAGCCGCGGUAAUACGAAGGGACCUAGCGUAGUUCGGAAUUACUGGGCUUAAAGAGUUCGUAGGUGGUUGAAAAAGUUGGUGGUGAAAUCCCAGAGCUUAACUCUGGAACUGCCAUCAAAACUUUUCAGCUAGAGUAUGAUAGAGGAAAGCAGAAUUUCUAGUGUAGAGGUGAAAUUCGUAGAUAUUA
rnacentral:rRNA from 1 species